rnacentral:rRNA from 1 species
AGGCCUAACACAUGCAAGUCGAACGGUAACAGGAAACAGCUUGCUGUUUCGCUGACGAGUGGCGGACGGGUGAGUAAUGUCUGGGAAACUGCCUGAUGGAGGGGGAUAACUACUGGAAACGGUAGCUAAUACCGCAUAACGUCGCAAGACCAAAGAGGGGGACCUUCGGGCCUCUUGCCAUCGGAUGUGCCCAGAUGGGAUUAGCUAGUAGGUGGGGUAACGGCUCACCUAGGCGACGAUCCCUAGCUGGUCUGAGAGGAUGACCAACCACACUGGAACUGAGACACGGUCCAGACUCCUACGGGAGGCAGCAGUGGGGAAUAUUGCACAAUGGGCGCAAGCCUGAUGCAGCCAUGCCGCGUGUAUGAAGAAGGCCUUCGGGUUGUAAAGUACUUUC